GUCAGGUGUGUGCCUAUAGUCCCAGUUACUUGGGAGGCUGAGGAGGGAUGAUUGCUUGAUCCCAGGAGUUUUGGACUGUAGUGCACUAUGCUGAUCUGAGAGUUCACAUUAAGUUCAGCAUUGCUACAGUUUCCUCCCAGGAGCAGGGGGACCGGGGACCAUCAUGUUGCUUAAGGAAAGUAAAGUAGCCCUCCAUCAGAAAUGGAGGUCAAAACUGUGCUGAUCACCAGUGGGGUUGUGCCUGUGAAUAGCCACUACAGCUUAGCCUGGGAAAAAUAGCAAGACGCUUAUCU
rnacentral:SRP_RNA from 1 species